GGCAUCGUAGCUCAGUUGGUUAGAGCGUUGGCCUACUUAAACCUUCCCCUUGCUGGCGUGUGUUCGAAUCCCACCGAGGCCG
rnacentral:tRNA from 1 species